CUGCUGGGGCGAGACCAUGUGCACAUGGCCGUCGAUGCCCGCCGCCGUCAGGAUGCAGUGCUCGCCGGAAAUGGCGUCCGUGGAGGGGCCGGUGCAGAGGUUGGGGCUCACGCCGUCCAUGACAUUGGGGUUGCCCGCCUUGCCGAUGCCCGCGAUCUUGCCGUCCUUGACGCCCACGUCCGCCUUGAUGACGCCCAGGAUGGGGUCAAGGAUGGUGACGUUGGUGAUGACCAGGUCCAGCGAGCCGCCCUUGCUGGUGAUGGUGUUGGCCGUGCCCAUGCCGUCGCGC
rnacentral:sRNA from 1 species